AGAGUUUGAUCCUGGCUCAGGACGAACGCUGGCGGCGUGCCUAAUACAUGCAAGUCGAACGAACUCUGGUAUUGAUUGGUGCUUGCAUCAUGAUUUACAUUUGAGUGAGUGGCGAACUGGUGAGUAACACGUGGGAAACCUGCCCAGAAGCGGGGGAUAACACCUGGAAACAGAUGCUAAUACUGCAUAACAACUUGGACCGCAUGGUCCGAGCUUGAAAGAUGGCUUCGGCUAUCACUUUUGGAUGGUCCCGCGGCGUAUUAGCUAGAUGGUGGGGUAACGGCUCACCAUGGCAAUGAUACGUAGCCGACCUGAGAGGGUAAUCGGCCACAUUGGGACUGAGACACGGCCCAAACUCCUACGGGAGGCAGCAGUAGGGAAUCUUCCACAAUGGACGAAAGUCUGAUGGAGCAACGCCGCGUGAGUGAAGAAGGGUUUCGGCUCGUAAAACUCUGUUGUUAAAGAAGAACAUAUCUGAGAGUAACUGUUCAGGUAUUGACGGUAUUUAACCAGAAAGCCACGGCUAACUACGUGCCAGCAGCCGCGGUAAUACGUAGGUGGCAAGCGUUGUCCGGAUUUAUUGGGCGUAAAGCGAGCGCAGGCGGUUUUUUAAGUCUGAUGUGAAAGCCUUCGGCUCAACCGAAGAAGUGCAUCGGAAACUGGGAAACUUGAGUGCAGAAGAGGACAGUGGAACUCCAUGUGUAGCGGUGAAAUGCGUAGAUAUAUGGAAGAACACCAGUGGCGAAGGCGGCUGUCUGGUCUGUAACUGACGCUGAGGCUCGAAAGUAUGGGUAGCAAACAGGAUUAGAUACCCUGGUAGUCCAUACCGUAAACGAUGAAUGCUAAGUGUUGGAGGGUUUCCGCCCUUCAGUGCUGCAGCUAACGCAUUAAGCAUUCCGCCUGGGGAGUACGGCCGCAAGGCUGAAACUCAAAGGAAUUGACGGGGGCCCGCACAAGCGGUGGAGCAUGUGGUUUAAUUCGAAGCUACGCGAAGAACCUUACCAGGUCUUGACAUACUAUGCAAAUCUAAGAGAUUAGACGUUCCCUUCGGGGACAUGGAUACAGGUGGUGCAUGGUUGUCGUCAGCUCGUGUCGUGAGAUGUUGGGUUAAGUCCCGCAACGAGCGCAACCCUUAUUAUCAGUUGCCAGCAUUAAGUUGGGCACUCUGGUGAGACUGCCGGUGACAAACCGGAGGAAGGUGGGGAUGACGUCAAAUCAUCAUGCCCCUUAUGACCUGGGCUACACACGUGCUACAAUGGAUGGUACAACGAGUUGCGAACUCGCGAGAGUAAGCUAAUCUCUUAAAGCCAUUCUCAGUUCGGAUUGUAGGCUGCAACUCGCCUACAUGAAGUCGGAAUCGCUAGUAAUCGCGGAUCAGCAUGCCGCGGUGAAUACGUUCCCGGGCCUUGUACACACCGCCCGUCACACCAUGAGAGUUUGUAACACCCAAAGUCGGUGGGGUAACCUUUUAGGAACCAGCCGCCUAAGGUGGGACAGAUGAUUAGGGUGAAGUCCUAACAAGGUAA
rnacentral:rRNA from 2 species